GUUGUCAAGAGCGUUGGUGCCCAAGACAGGAGGACCACGACUACGAAGCUCGUAGCCUUGGCCGGUAAUGGCGCUGGGGUUUUUGCCCAGGCGCUCUAUGGUGGAGAGAGGGAGGAAGACGAGAGAGGUAGGGAGAUUAGGGAUAACUGAUUGCUUAAUUCUCAAGUGUAGCGAUUACAUCUCUUAAAUAGGCUCAUAGCCUGCUGAAAAGAGGGAACAAACCCCUAAUUUGUAGCUGAUCCUCAUGCACGAUCUGCAUGCGUGCAUGCCUAAACUUGCGCC